rnacentral:rRNA from 1 species
UACGUAGGGUGCAAGCGUUGUCCGGAAUUAUUGGGCGUAAAGAGCUCGUAGGCGGUCUGUCGCGUCGGCUGUGAAAACCCGGAGCUCAACUCCGGGCCUGCAGUCGAUACGGGCAGACUGGAGUUCGGCAGGGGAGACUGGAAUUCCUGGUGUAGCGGUGAAAUACGUAGAUAUCUGGAGGAACACCGGUGGCGAAGGCGGCUAUCUGGUCGAGUACUGACACUGAGACACGAAAGCAUGGGGAUCAAACAGG